UUGAACGCUGGCGGCAGGCCUAACACAUGCAAGUCGAGCGGUAGCACAGAGAGCUUGCUCUCGGGUGACGAGCGGCGGACGGGUGAGUAAUGUCUGGGAAACUGCCUGAUGGAGGGGGAUAACUACUGGAAACGGUAGCUAAUACCGCAUAAUGUCGCAAGACCAAAGUGGGGGACCUUCGGGCCUCAUGCCAUCAGAUGUGCCCAGAUGGGAUUAGCUAGUAGGUGGGGUAACGGCUCACCUAGGCGACGAUCCCUAGCUGGUCUGAGAGGAUGACCAGCCACACUGGAACUGAGACACGGUCCAGACUCCUACGGGAGGCAGCAGUGGGGAAUAUUGCACAAUGGGCGCAAGCCUGAUGCAGCCAUGCCGCGUGUGUGAAGAAGGCCUUCGGGUUGUAAAGCACUUUCAGCGGGGAGGAAGGCGGUGAGGUUAAUAACCUCAUCGAUUGACGUUACCCGCAGAAGAAGCACCGGCUAACUCCGUGCCAGCAGCCGCGGUAAUACGGAGGGUGCAAGCGUUAAUCGGAAUUACUGGGCGUAAAGCGCACGCAGGCGGUCUGUCAAGUCGGAUGUGAAAUCCCCGGGCUCAACCUGGGAACUGCAUUCGAAACUGGCAGGCUAGAGUCUUGUAGAGGGGGGUAGAAUUCCAGGUGUAGCGGUGAAAUGCGUAGAGAUCUGGAGGAAUACCGGUGGCGAAGGCGGCCCCCUGGACAAAGACUGACGCUCAGGUGCGAAAGCUUGGGGAGCAAACAGGAUUAGAUACCCUGGUAGUCCACGCCGUAAACGAUGUCGAUUUGGAGGUUGUGCCCUUGAGGCGUGGCUUCCGGAGCUAACGCGUUAAAUCGACCGCCUGGGGAGUACGGCCGCAAGGUUAAAACUCAAAUGAAUUGACGGGGGCCCGCACAAGCGGUGGAGCAUGUGGUUUAAUUCGAUGCAACGCGAAGAACCUUACCUGGUCUUGACAUCCACAGAACUUUCCAGAGAUGGAUUGGUGCCUUCGGGAACUGUGAGACAGGUGCUGCAUGGCUGUCGUCAGCUCGUGUUGUGAAAUGUUGGGUUAAGUCCCGCAACGAGCGCAACCCUUAUCCUUUGUUGCCAGCGGUUAGGCCGGGAACUCAAAGGAGACUGCCAGUGAUAAACUGGAGGAAGGUGGGGAUGACGUCAAGUCAUCAUGGCCCUUACGACCAGGGCUACACACGUGCUACAAUGGCGCAUACAAAGAGAAGCGACCUCGCGAGAGCAAGCGGACCUCAUAAAGUAUGUCGUAGUCCGGAUUGGAGUCUGCAACUCGACUCCAUGAAGUCGGAAUCGCUAGUAAUCGUAGAUCAGAAUGCUACGGUGAAUACGUUCCCGGGCCUUGUACACACCGCCCGUCACACCAUGGGAGUGGGUUGCAAAAGAAGUAGGUAGCUUAACCUUCGGGAGGGCGCUUACCACUUUGUGAUUCAUGACUGGGGUG
rnacentral:rRNA from 1 species